rfam:TPA: Bos taurus chromosome 15, whole genome shotgun sequence.
UCCCUGAUAGCUCGGUUGGUAAAGAAUCUGCCUGCAAUGCAGGAGACCCUGGUUUGAUUCCUGGGUCGGGAA